rnacentral:tRNA from 1 species
GCCGCCAUAGCUCAGUCGGUUAUCGCGUGGGUCUAAUAAGCCCAAGGUCGCAGGUUCGACCCCUGCUGGCGGCA